rnacentral:lncRNA from 1 species
AUAACAGAUGUAUUCUUUUUUUAUGGGACGUCCAGUGAACUGAGCACUCGACUGUGUGUGUGUGUGUGUGUGAGUGUGUCUGUGUGUGUGUGUGUGUGUGUGUGUGUCUGUGUGUGUGUGUGUGUGUGUGUGUGUGUGUGUGUGUGUGAGUGUGUGUGUGUGAGUGUGUGUGUGUCUGUGUGUGUGAGUGUGUGUGUGUGUGAGUGUGUGUGUGUCUGUGUGUGUGUGUGUGUGUGUGAGUGUGUGUGUGUGUGUGUGUGUGUGUGUGUGUGAGUGUGUGUGUGUCUGUGUGUGUGUGUGUGUGUGUGUGUGUGUGAUAAAACGGGCUGAGAUAAAUAGAACGAAGGUCGUCGUCAGAUGUGUGUACUUCCUGUGGGAGUGAGUGAAACAAACGACCUUUAACCCGACAGAGAGCGAGAGCCGGUAAACAAAGUGUGUGUGUUUUAACUGCAGCAGUUGGAGGGAAAGUGUGUGUUUGUUUUCCUUCAGUGUGUGUGUGUGUGUGCGGUCACCAUGGUUUUCCUCAGACGGACUUCGCUGCUUCGCUACUUGCUGCUGUCGGCCAUGUUGGCUCUGCUCCUCUUCAUCAGCUCCUUCUGGCUCCCUCAGGGUGGAGACUGCGGCAGCUCCUGGCAGCCAUGUUCGAACUUUUACCACCAAACGACUGAGCCUCCAUUGGUCCCUGAAGAGGCCACGCCCCUCAUUAAAGAGUGUCCCGG